rnacentral:rRNA from 1 species
CCUACGGGUGGCAGCAGUGAGGAAUAUUGGUCAAUGGACGGAAGUCUGAACCAGCCAUGCCGCGUGCAGGAAGACGGUUCUAUGAGUUGUAAACUUCUUUUGUACAAGGGUAAACCUGAAUACGUGUAUUCAGCUGAAAGUACUUGACGAAUAAGGAUCGGCUAACUCCGUGCCAGCAGCCGCGGUAAUACGGAGGAUCCAAGCGUUAUCCGGAUUUAUUGGGUUUAAAGGGUGCGUAGGCGGAUUGUUAAGUUAGAGGUGAAAUGUCCGAGCUUAACUCGGGAACUGCCUUUAAUACUGUUGGUCUAGAGAGUAGGUGAGGUAGGCGGAAUGUAUGGUGUAGCGGUGAAAUGCUUAGAGAUCAUACAGAACACCGAUUGCGAAGGCAGCUUACCGGUCUAUAUCUGACGUUGAGGCACGAAAGCGUGGGGAGCAAACAGGAUUAGAUACCCGAGUAGUC